rnacentral:rRNA from 1 species
CCUACGGGUGGCAGCAGUGAGGAAUAUUGGUCAAUGGCCGAAAGUCUGAACCAGCCAAGCAGCGUGAAGGACGAAUGUGCCAAGCGUUGUAAACUUCUUUUGUCAAGGGACAAAAUCAGGCUCGAGAGCCUGACCGCGGGUACUUGAAGAAAAAGCAUCGGCUAACUCCGUGCCAGCAGCCGCGGUAAUACGGAGGAUGCGAGCGUUAUCCGGAUUUAUUGGGUUUAAAGGGUGCGUAGGCGGACUGUUAAGUCAGCGGUAAAAGUCCGGGGCUCAACCCCGGAGAGCCGUUGAAACUGGCUGUCUUGAGAUGUCGAGAGGUAUGCGGAAUGCGCAGUGUAGCGGUGAAAUGCUUAGAUAUUGCGAAGAACUCCGAUUGCGAAGGCAGCAUACCGGCGGCGAUCUGACACUGAGGCACGAAAGCGUGGGUAUCGAACAGGAUUAGAUACCCCAGUAGUC